UGGGUUAAUUAAAACAGUCGCUUGUGUACUUUUAAUAAGUAUACAAGAGGAAAGUCCGGACUCCAUAGGGUUAUGAUGCCAGAUAAUAACUGGGAAGUGUAAACUUACGAAUAGUGCAACAGAAAAAAUACCGCUAUAAUAUAUAUUUAUCUAUAUAUAGUAAGGGUGAAAAGGUGUGGUAAAAGCAUACCGAUAUAUUAGUAAUAAUAUAUGUCUAUGUAAACUCCAUCAGGAGCAAGGCUAAAUAAAGGUUUGUAUAUAUUAACCCGUAUAAAAAACCUGGGUAAGCUGCAAGAAAUAAUAAGUAAUUAUUAUUCUAGAUAAAUGACUGUUCUUUGACAGAAUCCGGCUUAACGAUUAACCUUUAUA
rnacentral:RNase_P_RNA from 1 species